AGAAACUUAGGAUAAGAUAAACCAAGGACCUUCAAAGCCCUAAACAGGGACACCACCCCUAGUUUCUG
rnacentral:tRNA from 1 species